rnacentral:rRNA from 1 species
AACCUGCCCUUGACUCUGGGAUAAGCACUGGAAACGGUGUCUAAUACCGGAUACGAGCUUCAGUCGCAUGACUAGGAGCUGGAAAGAAUUUCGGUCAAGGAUGGACUCGCGGCCUAUCAGCUAGUUGGUGAGGUAAUGGCCCACCAAGGCGACGACGGGUAGCCGGCCUGAGAGGGUGACCGGCCACACUGGGACUGAGACACGGCCCAGACUCCUACGGGAGGCAGCAGUGGGGAAUAUUGCACAAUGGGCGCAAGCCUGAUGCAGCAACGCCGCGUGAGG